UCAUCUCAGGGGCUUGUCUUAAAAGCCCUGGGUCCAAAGUUGCCCUGAUUCUCUUGUUUUCACGGCUGGCUGCUCAGCUUUCUUCAGCCAAUCAUCACCGGCCAAUCAUUAUUCCCUGCGCAUUCCCUCCCUCCUCCUCCCCACCUCCUCGCUCUUCGGGCAUUAUCUCAAGUCAGCUCCUCCUGUUUCCACCAAAGAACUGUGACCCCGAAACUGAAAUCGGUGCGAGGGAGGACAUUGUAGGUCACCAUGCCCCUGGGAGGAAGGUCACCAGGGAAGUAACAGGCUCCGCGAGGUCACCGGGGAUUCACGGUCCUGAUACCUGGAACUGAACUGCUGAUCGAUGUGGUGUCUGCUUAUCUGAGGCCGCAGGGGAUGCGGGACAGGAGGGUGGCACACUGGUCCCCGUGGUGCUGGACAACUUGGCAGGGGGGCGCCGACACCCCUGGGCUCUCACCUCCCUGGGGGACGGCACUCCACAUUGGCUGUCGCAGCUGGAGUCCCAGAAAACCAGACUGGGAGGCUGAGUCUGCAGGUGGCUGAACAGACACGCAGCAGAAUUUAUAGUCACUUGGAAGUGGGAGGUGGUGGGGGGGGGGGUUAGUAGUGGGGUGUAGGGUGUUCCUUGAAAAAGUCUGGAAGCACAGUCACGUGGGAGCAUUUAGAGGACUCUUCCUGGAGGAAGCAGUUCCCACCGUGCCCCUGGGCCUGAGGCAGCGACCCUGCAAUGCCACCGGGGCCCUAAUGCCUUGUUCCUAACCACCACCCCCCCCCCACCCCGGUCUGGACACCCACCCAGGGCCUGAAAGGAGUGUGAGAAAGAAUAGCUUUAUCCAGAAGGAAAUGUAGGAAUUAUUAGCGUAUGCAAAAAUGCUGGGGAAUAUUGUGGGAAAUGCUUUGGGGACGCCCAACCAAGGAGCUGCCUUCUGGAGAACGAGCUGGCCCUGACCUGCUGUGGCUUAGUGCCCCACUGGUCUGCACGGGUAAAGCCUGACCGGAAGCAGUCGGAAGGUGCUGGACGCAGGCCAUUUGCACCAAAUACCUUCCAUCCUGGUGGGGGCGGGUUUGCCUUCAUUAAACCAGACUUUGGAUUUAGAUUUGCUUGCCUGCCCCACACCCGCGGGGUUCACGGAGGGCACCCCCACCCGCACCGCUGGGGACUCCCACAAAACAUGGAUUCUGACCACAGAAGUCACUUCGCGGCUGCAGGAGUAAGGCAGUGGACUUAGGCUGGUGGGGUCACUGCUCCCGCCACAUGGCUCCCUGUCUGGGGACAGCAGGUGUCAGAAGAGACUCCUGAGGCCCAGGUGCCCUGAAGGAAGGUUUUUGGCCGUCCUCUCAGAAGCGGAAGCCAAACCAGCCAAGAAGGGGCCAAAGUGUGCAGGUUGUAGAAAUUUGCACUAGGAGCGCGACAGAAUGAGGGAAGGAAUAUCCAUCACGCAGCAGGUGCACAAGCCAGGGGAGCAUUUGGGAUUCUGCGCGAAGACCAGGUCGUAGGCCACCCCUGCGUGGAAGAGAAAGAAGGUGAACUGGUCGGGCCAGAGAGGAACCUGGAAAAAAAUGGAGGGCGAGAGGGGUGAGCAGUUUGCCCAAGUGGGGUCACCCUGGCUCUCGGGGAUGCUGCCCAAAGGGAUGGUGGGCAGAGGCAGGGCUGGGGGUCCCUCCCCAGGUAUCCUAGCUCCUGGCUCCAGGCCACUGCCCCCUCCCACCAUAUGACUCCCGGGGCAGAGCUCUGGACGCUGCCCACCUGGACGGAAUCCAGGUUCUGCUCCCUGCCUUUCCGAGUCUCCACUGUUUCAUCUGUGAAAUGGGAGUCAUCACGGGCACCAUCAUGCCGAGGGGUAGCAUGCCCAGUGCCUCAGCGCAGCCCAUCCGGGCCCCGUGUGCCCCCACACUGCCCCAAACCUCCUCCUCCCGGGGCUUUGCAGCUGACUGCCCUGGGACCGCCCUGGGACUGCGGACACAAGGCCCCCACAGG